rnacentral:rRNA from 1 species
GCUAAACAGCUAGCUCUACCACCUAGACACCUCACAAUAUAGUAAUGAAUUACAACAUAAAUGUAUAAACUAAAUCAUUCUUUUACCUAAGUAUGGGAGACAGAAAAGGUUAAAACCUGAAGCAAUAGAAAAAGUACCGCAAGGGAAAGCUGAAAGAGAAAUGAAAUAGCCCAUUAAAGCGAAAAGAAGCAAAGAUUAAACCCUGUACCUUUUGCAUCAUGAUUUAACAAGUAUGCCCAAGCAAAGAGCCCUUUAGUUUGGAGCCCCGAAACCAAGUGAGCUACCCCGAGACAGCCUGCACAAGGUAGGGCAAACCCGUCUCUGUGGCAAAAGAGUGGGAAGAACUCCGGGUAGAAGUGAUAGACCUACCGAACUUGGUGAUAGCUGGUUGCUUAAGAAAUGGAUAGAAGUUCAGCCCCAUCCUCCUCAAACCAAGUACAUUUUUAUUAACGGCUAAGAGCAAGACACGGGAGUUAGUUAAAGGGGGUACAGCCCCCUUAACAAAGGACACAACCUUCUCAGGAGACUAAAGAUCAUAAUACGCAAGACUCACCGUUUUAGUAGGCCCAAAAGCAGCCAUCUGGACAGAAAGCGUUAAAGCUCAAACGGACAAAAGUUUAUUAUACCGAUAAUUAAAUCUUAUUUCCCUAGAAUUAUUAAGCUAAUCCAUGCCUUCAUGGAAGAAAUUAUGCUAAAAUGAGUAACAAGAAGACCCGCCCUUCUCCCAGCACAAGUGUAAAUCAGAUUGGACAACCCACUGAAAAUUAACGAGCCCAAACCAAGAGGGUAAUGUGUAUAACAUGGAAACCAGGAAAACCCCACAAUUUAAACAUCGUUAAACCCACACUGGAGUGCAUCUCAAGGGAAAGACUAAAAGGAGAGGAAGGAACUCGGCAAACACAAGCCUCGCCUGUUUACCAAAAACAUCGCCUCCUGCAACUUUCCAUGUAUAGGAGGUCCAGCCUGCCCAGUGACUACGGGUUCAACGGCCGCGGUAUUUUGACCGUGCAAAGGUAGCGCAAUCACUUGUCUUUUAAAUAAAGACCUGUAUGAAUGGCCAAACGAGGGCUUAGCUGUCUCCCCCUCCAAGUCAGUGAAAUUGAUUUACCCGUGCAGAAGCGGGUAUAAUACUACAAGACGAGAAGACCCUUUGGAGCUUAAGGUACAAGGCUGGGCCACGUCAAACAACUUAAUAAAGAGAUAAGAACUUAGUGGAGCAAACAGUCUUACCUUCGGUUGGGGCGACCACGGAGGAAAGACAAGCCUCCAAGAGGAUAGGGCCGGCACCCUAAAGCUAAGAGGGACACCUCUAAGCCGCAGAACAUCUGACCGAUAAUGAUCCGGCAUAAAGCUGACCAACGGACCAAGUUACCCUAGGGAUAACAGCGCAAUCCUCUCCCAGAGUUCAUAUCGACGAGGGGGUUUACGACCUCGAUGUGGAUCAGGACAUCCCAAUGGUGCAAAGGGCACUAGUGAUUCGAUUAAAGUCCUACGUGAUCUGAGUUCAGACCGGAGCAAUCCAGGUCAGUUUCUAUCUGUAACGCUACUUUUCCUAGUACGAAAGGAUCGGAGAAGGGGGGCCCAUGCUUUAAGCACGCCCCGCCCCUAAUUGAUGAAAAAAGAUAAAGUAAACGAAGGGAGGGCAAAACCCCAACCGCCAAGAUAAGGCG